rnacentral:rRNA from 5 species
CAACUUUCAACAACGGAUCUCUUGGCUCUCGCAUCGAUGAAGAACGCAGCGAAAUGCGAUAAGUAAUGUGAAUUGCAGAAUUCAGUGAAUCAUCGAAUCUUUGAACGCAAAUUGCGCCCUUUGGUAUUCCGAAGGGCAUGCCUGUUUGAGUGUCAU